UGGGAUUCAACCAACCUAAGGAAAUUGUUUUUUGGUUCAAUCUCAGUUCUUGGGGACGUUUGGUGGACUAGGAGCAGCUGGAUUCUCUGCCUCACUUUUAACCUCAGUGCUGCCUACCACCUUAGAAGAUCUUCUCGCUCUUGGUCUUUGCUCGGCUGGAGGGUUAUUAGCAGUUUCAAACUUUCCAGCUCGUAGACAAGCAGUGGUGGAUAAGGUGAAUAAGGUUGCAGAUGGCUUAGCUCGACAGCUAGAAGAGGGCAUGGAGAAGGAUCUCCUGGAAAGCAUAAGUAAGUUGGAGAACUUUGUGAAAAUCAUUGGAAAACCCUACCAAGAAGAAGCUCAGAACAGACUUGACUGGCUUUUGGACAUUCAAAAUGAGCUCGCCGUUGUCGGGAGGAAGCUUCAAAAUCUUCAAGUUGAAAUCCAAAACAUUCAUGUAUCGUGAGCCCAGUUAAAACUCAAGAGUCACUUGAUUGUCCUCUUUGGUAAAAGAAACGGAUGGGAUCCUGGAGAUGUCAGAUGUUGUUGCAGCGGCAAUUUACAGUUUCUUCUUUUGUAGUAUUUUAAAGGUCAGUAAAUUUAUCAUAUUACUAUGUAUCUAUAAGAACAAUAUAUUACCAAUCGGUAAUUUUUCUUUGGAGGGGAGGGGUGUCCAUAAUGGGUUAUUUAUUGGGUGGUAAUUUGUGGAAAUUCUACGGUGAUUUUAAGGUUAGCUGCCUUCCAAUUUCUAAAUGGUCGAAACGGUAUAAUUAAAAUCCUAGCGCAUUGUACUUUGAAGCUACUAUGAUAUCCCAAUUCUGUA